GUAAGAUAUCUAGAUCCAUCCCUCCACUGUAAAUUAUUUUGACAUCCAGCCCACGUUCUUUCAAGCGCUUGGAAAGAGUUUUCAUUAUAUCUUGAGCUUUCUCUUUCUGAACAUAGAAACUGACUUUGUGUGGUCGCUGCUCUGUUUCUGACUGCAGACUGAGUUCAGGAAACUUGCUUGUCUCCUCUGUUACUAUCUUUCUAUCCCACUUGUUAUUCAGAAAAGUUUCCCAACCAUCAUCAGGCACCAUAGCGUUACCAUAUGUUAUUUCAGUUCCCACAGACAUAAUUGUAAUAUCUGGGGUUAGCAUGGGCUUUUCUUUCCUCAAUUCCUUGUAUAGUGUAGGUGAUCUCCCAGUAGAGAACACUAACAAAGAGUUAUCACGAUAAUUGGCCUCCCAUAAAGCAUUGAACCUAAGCAGAGAAAGGUUCUCGGAAUCAUGAUGAUCUACCAUUGUAUGGUCAAGAUCCGAGACUAUCAUGAGACGUGCAGCACUGGUUAGCCUAUCCAUGAUUGAUGUAAAUUGGCUUCAACCUGAAAUUGGAUUUGGGGAAACAAAAA
rnacentral:misc_RNA from 1 species